rnacentral:rRNA from 1 species
CGUAGGGCGCGAGCGUUGUCCGGAUUUAUUGGGCGUAAAGAACUCGUAGGCAACUUAUCGCGUCGUCCGUGAAAACCUGCAGCUCAACUGCAGGCUUGCGGUCGAUACGGGCAGGCUCGAGUUCGGUAGGGGAGACUGGAAUUCCUGGUAUAGCGAUGAAAUGCGCAGAUAUCAGGAAGAACACCGGUGGCGAAAACGGGUCUCUGGACCGAUACUGACGCUGAGGAGCGAAAGCGUGGGGAGCGAACAGGAUUAGAUACCCUGGUAGUCCACGCUGUAAACGUUGGGCACUAAAUGUGGAAAACCUCUCCGAUUCUCUAUGCCGCAGCUAACGCAUUAAGCACCCCGCCUGGGGAGUACGGCCGCAAGGCUA